GACGAACGUUGGCGGCGUGCUUAAUACAUGCAAGUCAACUGAAGCACCGGUAGUAAUACUGGUGUGGAGGUGGCGCACGGGUGAGUAACACGUAGGUAAUCUGCCUUCAGGUCUGACAUAACCCCGAGAAAUCGGGGCUAAUAGCAGAUGAUGCAGCGGCUUGACAUCAAGACAGUUGUUAAAGCUUCGGCGCCUGAAGAUGAGCCUGCGUCUGAUUAGCUAGUUGGCGGAGUAAUAGCCCACCAAGGCGACGAUCAGUAGCUGGUCUGAGAGGAUGAUCAGCCACACUGGAACUGAGACACGGUCCAGACUCCUACGGGAGGCAGCAGUAAGGAAUAUUGCUCAAUGGGAGAAAUCCUGAAAGCAGCAACGCCGCGUGAGGGAUGAAGGGCUUUUGCUCGUAAACCUCUGUAGUGAGGGAAAAAUUUCCAUUCUAUGGAAUAUAAUGGUACCUCAAAAGUAAAGCCCCGGCUAACUACGUGCCAG
rnacentral:rRNA from 1 species